AAGAUGUAAUCAUGGAGAGAAGGUUAGCACUCCCUGUGAUAAGGAUGGAGGAGGUCCUAAUGGCCUUUACAACCCAUAUACAGUUACGGCACUGCUCCCUACUCUAUGGCAUCUAACCAUGUUAAUCU
rnacentral:ncRNA from 1 species